GUGAGGGUCUCAGGUCUCAGGCUGGGUGAGGGUCUCAGGUCUCAGGCCGGGUGGGGGUCUCAGGUCUCAGGCCGGGGGCCACGAGCUGCCACCAUCCAUGUGGGGGAUGCGUUUAGCUGAAGGGAUCAAACAGGUGAGGAUGAGCUGCAGAACGUUUUUCGGCCCACAGUGUAAUAAGUUGUUAACGUCAGCUCCUCCUCACACUCAGCUGCCUGCUGUUCCCCCACAACAGGUACUGAGAUGUGGCUGAGUGAAGGUCUGUGGGGGCCAAACCCGUCCAACGUGAGGGCUGGUUUGUGUAUGGAUCCGUGUUUCAGCCUCUAAUCUCCUCUGUGUGCGUGAGUCAUGGUGGUUUGUGUUACUCGAGUUGUUUAGUCUAAAUGUACCAGCAGACUGUGAGAAAGAUCUCUGCCGUUACACCAGUGCUCCCCGUGUCAGAAGCCCUGUUAAGGGCAGAAAUGGGGGUCGGCAGCGCUGUGUGUGGAGAUGCUGCUGCCUUGUUGAGACCUUCACGCACAUUUAAUGAGAGAAGAAAAGAUACAAACACAAUACACACGAUGCACCUCUGAUGAGCACAUGAUCCUGCUCUCACACACACACACACACACACACACACACACACACACGCCGUCCUCACACACACACACACACAACUACAAAAAUCCCUUUUUCCUUUCAUCAGGCGUUUGACUAAUAGUGAGAAAAAUGGACGUCCUCUCGCUGCGCGUCAGUCCGUGUUGGGACACGUGAGAGAAGCUCACGGCCGCUGACAGCAGAAAACACCACCCGACCCGAAGGUGUAGCGGCUGCCCUCCGUGUCAGCAUGGUCGCUCUUUGGGCCCGUCAGCUGUUGGCCACGCGCUCAGCCGCCGCAUCGAGGCCUGUGAAGUAAAACGCUGCCGGUUUGAUAUUUAGCAGCUUUAUUAUUUCUCUGCUGAGUGCAGACAGGAGCCCGUUGUUGCUGCUCCCCUUCAGAUAAGCGUCCAGGAUAAGUUCCCUCAACCCGUGUGACCCUGACAGGCAGCGCCAGACUUAAUCCCCCGCCACACACGCACACACACACACACACACGCACGCACACACACACACACUCACUGACGCACACACACACUCCUGCAUGCCUUCGUCCCCUCUGGCUCCUCGGCCUCCUAUAAGCACACGUAUAAGAGGUAAGAGAACAGUUAGGACACAGCAGUUAGUAGGUAACACACAGUACACACUCACACACACACACGCACACACACACACACACACACACACACACACA
ensembl:lncRNA